AGCACGCCAAAUUACUCGUUACUCGUUGACAGUAGCUGCCAUCUUUGUUUUCCUUAUUUUUAUAGCAGCUUACUUAAUUUAUAGCGUUUCUACGCAGUCUGGUUUAUUACAGUCUUCGAUAAAAACGGCACAUUAUAUUAUCUAUCAAUUUAUAUAAUCAGAAAUAUGUUGUUCACAUAGAACAUGUUUUAAAGAAGCAGCUCUUAGAUUAUUAAAUUAAUAUAAAUACCAAGUUUACAAUAUGGAGUCUUCUGACUUUAUAAGCACCAGCGAAAUGUCUACUACGAACACUACCGAAAAUGAAACAAUACAAGAGAUACCUGUUGUUCGAACUCAUACGAACAUAAACGGUUCAACUUUCGAUAAUAUGGAAAUUCAAAUGGAGAAUUAUGAUGAAGACUGUACGAAUAUUAAUAAUAAUAAUGCCAAUAAGUUUUGUUGGAAACGGUUAAGUAAUCCCUCUGGACCUCAGCCACGUCCUAGACACGGACAUCGAGCCAUCAACAUAAAAGAAUUAAUGGUCGUGUUUGGUGGAGGUAAUGAAGGCAUCGUCGAUGAACUUCAUGUUUAUAAUUCUGUUACUAAUCAAUGGUUUGUACCGGCAAUGCGAGGUGAAGUUCCACCAGGUUGUGCCGCAUAUGGUUUUGUUGUUGUUGGUACUCGUAUGUUUGUUUUUGGUGGUAUGAUUGAAUAUGGAAAAUAUUCUAAUGAACUUUAUGAGUUGCAAGCAACAAAAUGGGAAUGGCGCAAAAUGCAGCCUGAAUUGCCGGAUAAUAUGCCAGCCCCAUGUCCACGUUUAGGCCAUAGUUUCACAAUAGUAGGGGAUCGCAUAUUUCUCUUCGGUGGCUUAGCUAAUGAAUCUGAUGAUCCUAAAAACAACAUACCUAAAUAUCUAAACGAUUUAUACAUUUUGGAAACCCGGGGAGUACACAGUCAUAACGGCAAAUGGAUUAUGCCAAAAACAUAUGGAGAAAACCCACCUCCCCGAGAGUCUCAUACAGGUGUAGCAUUUACGAGCAAAAACACUAAUAAACUACAUUUAUUGAUUUACGGCGGAAUGAGUGGUUGCCGCCUUGGUGAUUUGUGGCUCUUGGAAGUUGAUUCCAUGACAUGGUCAAAGCCACGAACACGAGGUCCUGCACCGUUACCCAGAUCCUUACAUAGCGCUACAAUGAUUUGCAACAAAAUGUAUGUCUUUGGGGGAUGGGUGCCUUUACUCACAAAUGAUUCUAAAUCAACAACGGAAAGAGAAUGGAAAUGCACAAAUACUCUCGCGGUUCUUGAUUUGGAUUCAAUGACUUGGGAAAACGUAACUGUCGACUCGGUUGAUGAAGAUGUACCACGAGCUAGGGCUGGCCACUGUGCAGUAGGUAUUCAAAGCCGUUUGUAUGUGUGGUCUGGUCGGGAUGGGUAUCGUAAAGCAUGGAACAACCAGGUUAGGGUUUGCUGUAAAGAUCUUUGGUAUCUUGAGGUCACUAAACCACUUUAUGCCGUUAAAGUUGGUUUGGUGCGUGCUUCUACUCAUGCGUUGGAACUAUGUUGGACCGCUACCACUUUUGCAAAUGCCUAUGAGUUACAAACACAAAAAAUCGAACCUCUAACAAUGGCUGCUAAAGUUGUAACACCGUCAUUUGCUCCUAGUGCCUGUGCUACGACAAUACCACCCAGUCAAAAUCCGGUUAAUGGAAUGACAACGUCUAUACAACCUUCACCAGUAUUGUCAGCGAACAAGCAUCAGAAGAUCCAUAAUACAGCCCUACCUACUGUUACUUUGCAACAAUCUACUGCCAAAGUAUCUAGCAAUGCUAUUAUACAACAGCAGGCGCAGCCACAAACGCAAAAUCAGCAGCAACAACAACCACAUUUGCAUGGUUCAACUAUCUAUAUAGCGCAGCAAGUCCAGCAAUCUCAACAAAUCGGUCAAAUCAACGCUAAAAUUUUAGCUUCGUCCCCGAGUAUUGUGGAGAAUACUAUGCCUACCCCACGCAUUAUAAAUGCGGCAACAUCAGCAAUUGUAAAUUCCAGCACGUCUGUUAGUGGUAGUGGAGGUGUAAUAGCAGCAACGUUAGUAAAUGUAUCCCAACAACAACCAAGUGUAUCAAUGAUAAAUAAUAAUAUAACUACCAUAUUGCAAAAAUACCGGCCGAAUGCAGUUGUAUCUCGGACUGCUGCCAUAACUUCACCAAUUGUCACAGGAUCGGCUGCAAUAUCGUGUACACAGGUGAAUGCUGGUGGUACUAGUUUACGAGUUGUAAGUUCUGCGUCUACUCCUGUAACAACAACUGCUCAGACGAAUACUGUUCGCAUUGUAUCGGGAAAUACUGGUCAGACUUUGCGUUUAGCUACUACACAAGCUACAGGGAAUACAGCUACCAUAUUGAAAACCGCUCAAAAUACGGGCGCUAACAUGACUGGACAGGUACAAAACACUGCUGUUGCUAAUUCAGGAGCGUCCAUAGGUACUGCUACUACAAUUGGUACCAAACAAUAUAUAUUGCAAAAGCCUUUAACAUUGGGUACCAACGUACAGUUUCAGUUAGUAAAAACUAGCACUGGCGGAGUAGCCGUGCAAACCCUUCCGAAAAUUAAUUUGAAUUUGGCCAAAAAUACUAAUGCCGCUGGCACAAUAGCUAUGGGUCCGCAACAGACAGCAGUUGGAGGACAAAUGGUGACAGCUUCACAAUCAGUAGUUAGCAAUGCUGUUUCUCAGCCACAGCAACAAUUUAUUGCUACUGUGGGCGGUGGUACCAAUGCAAAUUGUAUUACAUCCAUAGCAACUAAUGUAUCCGCCGGACAGCAAAAACCCAUAGUAUCUGGUAAUCUUGUUAAAUUGGUCUCCCCACACACCGUUAGUGGCGGUAAAUUGAUUAUGAAAAAUUCAAAUAUACUACAAAUGGGAAAGGUUUCUUCAAAUGUUGCCGGCAAGCCAGCAUUUGUUAUCACUAACAAGCAGGGACAUCAGUUAACUAAUCAACAGAUCAUAAUUGUUACUACUGGUUCGGCUUUACGAACCAUAUCCACAUCAAAUGUAUCUCAAGCAGGUGCAUGCAACAUUGUCUCCAUAGUAGGUUCUACAUCGACAACAGCUACAGCUGCUACGACUAGAAAUGUGGUAGCUACUCAGACUGGUGUUAAAAUGAUACGUGGAGUUACAAGCACAACAGGACGCCCAAUUACACUAACAUUGCCUUCAGCAACAACACAAUUAUCUCAGCAACAUGUUACCGGUCAACAGCAUCAGCAAAAAAUCAAUGUGCAUGCUGCAAAUAUCCAACAAAAAACAAUAACACUUGGAGGUAAAGCAGUAACCGUUCAAAUGGCUGCAAAUCCAAAUAUUACUGGGCUAACUAAAACUGUUACUAUUGUUGGAUCGAGCUCAGGGCACACUCAACCUCAGACAAUAGUUACAAGCGGUAUCACUGGCAACACCACCGGCAAAUUAGUCGUGUUACCUGCUAAUACAACCAUAGCUAAUAAAGGGUUCGUUAAUAUUUUAAACGCAAGUGGCGUAAGUAAUAGCGGUGGAAAUACUUUGCAACGGUCGAUUACAUUAACGUCUAAAAAUAUAGUGGGGACAACAAAUUCACACGUCGGUUUUGCGACACAAAUCAAUAGUAAUGGGUCAAAUGAACCGACCGUUGCUAUAACGGCAUUGACAGAUUCUAAUUAUACUGAGGGUGAUACUAUGGACGAUAUAAUUGAACAAUUAGAUGGUGCAACAGAUGUAUUUGGAAAAACAACUGACACUAAUUCCGAAUAUAUUGAUGACGAGGCAAACACUUGCGGAAUGAAUUAUCACCAAAACCAAAUAAUAGAAAUCGAUGAAGAUUUUGGAGAAGUCGACAUUACCUAUUCAAGUAAAGCAAAAGAUUCUACAAAUAUUCAUGCAAACACGAAAUGGAAACCUGAGUUGUCAAUUGAAUGCGUGCAAGUCCCCAAUGCGUUAGUCAUGAACUCAGAAUCUUCCCAUAUAGCAACAGCAGAAGCAAAUCCAAGUAAAUAAAGGAAACACUUCAGAAAGACGACUUACAGUACAGUGCCCUUCUUUUUUAAUAGUUCACCACCUGAAACAUGUCUAUUAGGUAUUGCUGAAGAACUUGUCGCAGUUUCCACGUUCACAAACAGCUUGGCAUAUCUAAGUUGCUUAUAGCAGAUGCUCGCCCGACUAUCGCCGAAGGAAUCUCCUCCACGCUAAGUGAUAAUGGAUGCCUUCGUCGUAGGUGAUCAUUCAAAUUUGAAGUAUUACCAGAAAUUUUAAAAUUCUUUUUUUUUUUUACAAAUAUUACAGUUGACAAUUUUUAAUUUUUUACAAAAAAAAUUCCUGGCCGUAUUUUAGUUUGAUUUAACCAUAUAUUAAAAUAUUUUCAGCACUUUCUUUAUAAAAUAAAAUUACAUAUUACCAGAUAUUCCAACAGAAAAUAUUGCAAUUUAAAAUGUUAUACCAAUAUUUAUAUAAGUUGGGAUCCAAUGUAAACGUUUCAAUAUUGUUUGGUGGAAAUACCUGACGUAAAUAUUACUGACAGUUAAAAUUGCUUGCUUAAUUCAAAACCAUUGACAUUUUUUUCAACCAACUGGAAACUGUUAAAAAAAGCUUGCCAAAACUCAUCGACGACCACAUGAAUUUACUUUAGUCAUUUUACUUAUUUGUUGAUGACCACUACAUGAUUCAUAAAUCUUUAUUUAUUACGAGUAGUAUGAAUAUUUUUCACUUAAAUCUAUUUUAAGCAUCUAUUCACUUCUAUUAAUUAAUAUAAUUUAACAUAAAUCAUUCACCAUAAUUUAGAAAUACACAAUAUAAGCAUUAUUCGUACAUUUGCUGAAUAUAAUAUUAACAGUAUACGAAUAAAUUAAUUCGUACAAAACAGAUUUGCUAGAAAUCCAUCGCAUAUACAAAAUAUCAUUCAUGUGAUAAAUCGUUCAAAAUCUAAAAAAUAAUCAUUCACGAAAACUUAGUAAUAAAUGAAAAAACUAGUAACGAACGAAGAAUUUUUAAUAAACGAUGAUUUUUUGAAAACUAUAGAAUGAAUGUAAUUUGCUGAACUAUCGAAUAACUUGAAAGUUUUUAUUCGAUAGUACCCAUCACUAGAAUUUUUUGGAUAGAGCUGUGACACCUUCACCAUUUUGACUGCGCUAAUUAAUUUAGCGUUUUUUGCUAAGCUCAAAACAUUUAAUUUCCGUUCCAUUAUGCAAUAAAAUACACAUGAUCUUAACCGCGAACAACUACGAUUUCUAAUGUAUCCGUGUAAUCCGUUCCCACGACAGUCGGGUCUACGUAACCGGAACGGACCCGGAUUUUAUCCGGCCAAGGACUGUCAACUCGGCAGAAUUCUGCCGCUUCAACAACAACAACAACGAUUUCUAAUGAAAAAUAUCAAUUAAAAGCGAUGCAAACGUAAGAAAAAAGCCACCAGUAUAGUAUAUUCAAAAGAAAAGUUACUAGUCGCGCCUUUAAAUAACAAAUGCUAACAACAACAGUGCACGCAUUGGCUGUUACACAGCCACUAGCUGGAUACUAACGUGGACAUAUUAUAUUAACAAACAACAUGUAUGAGUGUGCAUGUAUAUAGUAUAUGCUAUGUUUUCGCGUAUAAAAUACUAGAAAACUACUCUGUUCGAGUUUUAAAGCCAUCAAAUUUGGUUCGAGUUUUAAAGUAGCCAAUAGAGAAGAAAAAAAUUGAAGUUUCCGAACGUUCGAGUUAUUGUGUGUUCGAGUUUUCACGAAAAUAUAAAAUCUCUCGUUUGUUUUCUGGGCCUUAAGUUAGAGAAUGUCGACUGUCAAUUCCCACAACAGCUGGUUGUACGUUGCCAUAUUUUUUCCAGCCUACGGCUGUUGUUUCGGCAAUCUAAACUUAUUUGUCACCUUUGGAGCAACACCUCGCAACAGGUCGAUCCUUGUGGCCAAAGCAUAAGGGAUCUCCAUUUGUCAAGGUUAAGGAACAUAGCGAACUUCCUGCAGUCAGUUUUUACUAGGAAGAUUUUGCAGAAAUAAAUUUUUGAUUACGACGACGAUAUGUACACCUCAUUGACCAGACUACGGUCUUUCAGACAUGAACUGAACUCCAUUCACAGUGGACCUAUUAACACUUUCAUUGCCUUCUUCCCAGUGAAUUGAGUCCUUGGAGUCAAACCACCACCCAUAGUAAAAGUAAAACAGUAAAACUCUACUUAUCCGGAAUGGACUCCGAAAUGCCAAACCCAUGUCCGGCAUGGAAAGAGUGCCCGUACUACUUUAACCAACUCCUUGCAAGCCCUAGGAAACGAACUCAUAUAACACCCUUUUCCUAUGGUCCGACCUCUUCGAAAGAGCACGUUAGAUGAUUUUGAUGUCAAUUAAUUUGCCUCUUGUCACUUAAAUAGGGUCUGGAUAACCACUACGACAACAAAAGAAUGUCAACUACAAAAUUUAAACUCAACCCUGAACUUCUUUGUAGAUGUAAAAUUAAUUUAAUAAUAAGUCUUGUGGCAAAAUACUAAGAAGCAUUUUUUUUCUUUUUUUUUUUUUGCAGAUUACAUUGACUUUUAAUUUGAUACUGUAACACAUUUCAUCAUACGCAGCUGUAUAUAGUGAAUCCUAGCUAUAAAUGCAAUAUAAAAAUGUCUGGAUCAAUUUACCGUGCAUAAACAAAUAGACUACAGACUAUGUACUAGUUACAAAUGCACACGCUAAGAUAGUUUAUAAAAAAAGCUUUUAUUUACUAUUAAUUUAAAGAUUGUAUUUUUUGAUUCAAAAAGACACUUUAUUUGCAAUUUCGUUGACAUUUUAAUGUUGAAUUGGAAUUUAAUUUCGACAACUCAUUUUGAAACUUUCUUUUGAAAAUUUUUAAAUUCGCGGAAAUAUAUCAUAAGAUGCAAGAUUUAUGUAAUACGUUUAUUUAUAUAUUACUUGAGUGAAAAUGACACAAUUUAAGCUUCAUUACUAGCUUAAAGAAUUUCAGAUGAAAUUCAAAGUUUAUUGUUACUAGGUCAAACAUCGAUGCAUCUGCAUGAUAUCACUGCACGUGUUUUUAAACAAAAACUAAAAUCUUUGAUGAAUUUGAUUAUGUAUCACUUGGUAUUUGGUGAAACACGUUUUUGGCUUUACUCUGUUGAAUGGCAAAAACGAGGUUUACCUCAUGCGCAUAUUUUGAUUUGGUUGGUGGAUAAAGUACGCCCAGAAGAAAUCGACAAAAUUAGUUCAGCCGAAAUUCCAGAUCCGAAUGUUAAUCAAGAAUUGUUUGACAUUGUAACUACUAAUAUGAUCCAUGUUCCAUGUGGCACUCUAAACAUGAUGUCACCAUGUAUGGACAAUG